GGAGUUAGAGGAGAGCAAGGCGGGAUUCUGCAGAGGAACCUGAUCUCCGAGUUCUCCGUUUCCUCUCCAACAAGAGUGUGACGAGUGUUACAGGCCACAGCGGUGGUGAUAAAGUGCCGAUCGUACUGUUGGAUGGGUAGGGAACGUGAUGCUGAACUCACAGAACACUCUGUGCUCCCCGGAGAGUGGUGCGUUAGGUUACUGUCAUCCAAAGCGGAAGUGGGCUUCAAUUGCAGGAAAUGAGAAAAGGAAUCGUAGGCGACGUCCUUGAAGGAGUUUGGCGCAGUGGCCUGGCGGCGUGGUUCCAAGCAGUUAGGGUAAUGGAACAUUUAGAGAAAAUACAAACAGCCACUUUCUUUUGAAGCAAUGGUUGUUACCAAGCAAUUUAUUUUAUUUACUCAUGCUGGAUGCAAAGUUGGGCAGCACCAAAGUGAUUCAUUGUUUUUGGACAACACCCUGAAGAAGCCUUCUCCUCCGCACCCCCCAUGCUGCUGUCUCACGGGAGAGCCAGGCUCCAGGACCAUUGGUCUGCUUUUGACUGCAAGGUUCACUUGUACUCUUGCACAAGACAAUAUGUGUGGCAACUUGAGAUUCAAACUCAGGUGAAUUGAUAGAGAAUUACCGGGCACAUGGCCGUUGGCCCAGGCUCCUGAAUCCCAGAUGGCUAACUGCAGAAAUCCUUUGUGCGCAGUGGGCUCCCAGGUGUGGGCGACUAAUCCAGAAUGCAGACUUAUCAGCUUUGUGUUAUAACUUGGCUUGAACACCGGUGAGAAAACUCGCGGUUUUUCCUGACAUGCUCACAAUUUGCCUUUGAAGCCGGUUUCCUCUUAUUCUUGAUGAUGUUUAGAAGAGAAAGGCUGUGAACCUUUGAGCACUUGGUUUGAAAUAGAUCAUUAUUCUUUUCACUGAACACAGAGCAGGUAAGAAUGGUUUCCUGAAGCACCUGGUUUGGGGCACUGGCCUCAGGCGCCCACAUUCAUGCUCAUAAUAAAAUUAGGCUUAACAACCAUCUCUGUCAUCAUGCUAGAGAAAGGUUUUAGCAGAAAAACGUCAAGCAAUACAGCAAACCAUUUGACUAGUGGGUUGACUGACAAAAGACCCACUUGACUGUGCUCUUGUGCAGCUGAUAGGAUAAGGGGGUCAGAGCUGUGAUGUCCUCAUGGACAAGGACCAUUGCUUAUUCAUUUUUGCCUACCAGCCCUUAGCACAGUAGUUAAUAUGCUAUGGGCAGGAGGAAAUGUUUGGUGAAUAAAUACUAAAAAGGUCAGGAGACAGAGCAACAGUAAGAAAUAUUCUCUGAGAGACUGACACCUUAUUCCCACACUGCAAUGCAACAUUAGCCAUAGACACAGCGUGGAAGACAUGCAGAGGCUUCCGGGCUCUUUUGCCAACUGAAAGCUGUCGUGGGCAGAAUACAAAGAUGAACCCAGUGACCUACACCCUUGUACAAUAUCCUCCUCUUGAGGGAAUUUUACUUGCUUUCAAUAAGUAAAAUAUGGCAAAAGUGAAGGGAUUUUUCAGAUGUAGUUAAGGUUCCUAAUCAGUCUACUUUAAAUUAAGCAAAAGGGAGAUAUAUGUGUGGGCCUCACCUAAUCAGGUGAGACGUGUAAAGAAAUUGAAGAGGUCAGAGACUGAAGAGGUCAGAGACAAUCUCUCCUGCCGGCCUUGAAGAAGCAAGCUGCCAUGAGUUCUGUGGCUUCAGUGAAGUGGGUUCUGCCAACAACCAUGUGAACUUGGCAAAGAAACCAAGGCCUGGCCCACAGUGUGAUUCCAACUUUCUAAGAUCCUGAGCUGAGAAUCAAGGGUUGCCUGGACUCCCUUGCUGGUCAUAGGAGGCAUGUAGGCGGGUCUGGAUGGUGUGAGAUGGCUUGACCCCUGCACAUGAGACCUGCAAGGCCAGCUGGCAGGCUGGGCUCUCCUGGGCGCCUCUCCUUCUCCACAGCCACAGAAGUCCGGACUGAUGAAGGACCCUCUUUAUCUUUCGCUCUGGAAACACACUCUUAAGAUUCUUAGAAGCCAUCUUUUUUAACAGAGAAGUUCUUGGAGGCCUGCCUUGGACACCCCUAGCGGGACGUGCAUCUGUCUCAAACCAUCGAUGAGACAUCAUUGUCCAUCUUCUGAGGUCUUAACAAAGAAUCUUGCACUAACACCCUGGAUUUGGUCUUUGCCUGGAAGCCAUUUUUUUUUUUUUUUCUCCUUUAAGAAUCUUUGGCUGGGAGAAAGAGGCUAAGGAUAAGAAAGUUUUAUUUUCAAACCUAGCAAGCCCUGGCUCCUUUAUAUUUCUUCUAUACUCUGCUGAAUA